rnacentral:lncRNA from 1 species
ACGAGCACCACCUAUCUUUGUUUUGACAAAGGAGAAUCAUCAUUAAUCCGAAACACAGUCGACGCUAAAUACGAGUACAAGUUUAAGUGCGUAAGAUAUGCGUAUCUCGUUUCGAAUUUGUGUGUUUGUAUGAUCAAACGUUCCGAGGUUUACGAUGAUAUGUAUUCAUAUAUAUUUCUCAUUCACACAAUUCACCUAGGAACAAAUCGUUUCUGCAGAGUGUUCAAAUGCCGUUGUACUCAUUAAUGAUUCAGCUGAAUUUCGUCUCGACACGGUGAUAAUGUUCGCGAUAAUUAGUCAAGAGAAAGACCGAUACAAUCUAUGGAUGCUGUAAUAUACUAUACCUCCAAUAUCGAAUUUUUUUUCGUCGUCAAUAGAUUGACAUUCUACACCGAGGCGUGGAGCAUCCAAUAAUAAUUGAACGAAUCAUCUUUUGCAUGGUUUUGUAUGAUAAAUAAAAAUCGUGAUGGAAAAAUAAAACAACGAUUAUUAUUGAUCGUUAUAUAAAAAUGUUUAUACAUUAAACAUUUUUUUCAAAGUUUGUCUUUUCGACGAAUGACUGUGCAAUUGCUAGGGAAUAAUUAAGAGUUAUAUGAAUGCUGGAAAGACAACAGGAAAAUCGAUUUUGUUUUGGAGAUUUUCGAAGAAUAAAGGAAGAACAUAUUAUAUUACAGGUCCACUCUCUUUCAUCGGACUACGUAGUCGCGGAGACGAUGGAGCAUCCAGGACGAAGGAGCAUAAAUGGAUUAGAAGGGUCCUGCCGGAUGACUAAGUUUUAGCCAGGGCAGCGCCGGCGCCAAAUCCAAUUUGAUCUUAACGUUAACUCGAUCCCGCGUACGGUUACACGGUGAAUUAAACGUCGUUGACAACGUGGAGGUAACCGAGGUCUCAAAAAUACCCCCUUAUGGAUAUCUCGCCGAUACAAGCCAACAAGUGGCGAGUCGAUCAUUUUAUUCUGCCAAAAAUUUCGAGGAUACUUAUUUACUUUAUUUAAUUAUUGCUUUAAACUAAUUACCUAGCAAAUACAACGUGUUCACAAUAUCCUCAUCUCAAGAUUCGUCAACACACAGGAUGUAACGAGAUACAAAUAUUUAUUACCAUCCAUAUCAAUCAAGUUCCGACAUCCAUUUCAACAACCUUGUGGGACAUCAAAGCGUUCUCCUGCUUCCGUAUCGUCCUCCUUGAUCAUCCUCGUCCUCAAAGGAGAGCUCUGAAAUCUCGAUGGCGUAUACAGAAGCUCACGUAAUCGCUUCGAAUCCGAUUAUGCAUUAAAGAUCCUGCCGCUGACUUCGCGAUUUCGCGAUGAUCUUCACGCUUUGUAAACGACCAGAGAUGUUCCAUCCUUGCCACGGAGCCUAACUUGAAAAGUUGCUGGAUCCCCACGACUGGUCCGUUCCGUUGGAAAGGAGCAGAGCCACGGAAGAUGAUUACGGUGGAGGGUGGACUGGUAAAAUUGGGGAGAACAAGGUGAAUUCGGGUGGCUCGGGUCCGGUUUAUCGAGCUGGAACAACAAGCGGCAAUCAGGCAUAACUCGAUCAUUUCAUUCUUCUACGUCCGUGCUCCGCCCUCGAUCUUCGUGGCCCUUCCUGUGUCGCCCCCGAACUGCUCGCGAUACACACGCGUAGAGGACGAUUCAAAAGUGUAAGGAUGAAAUGGAAAUGGACGUUUGAUAGACGACUUUGGCUAAUUGGAAUAUUUAAUAAUUUGUUUGAUGAAGAUAUAUGCAAAGUAUAUCAAGUUAUAAUAAGGAAA